UCAAUUUGUUGUUGUUUUUCCUCAUACUGAAAUAAAGCACUGAAGCUCAAAAUAGAGGUAGCAGUGUUGUCCCUAAGCUGAAAGCAAGUGAAAAUCACAGUCAUGUGCAGCAGCUACUUUUUCUGAAGUCAGAUACCAUCAGCAAGGUCUAACUAAGGUGGGAAAAGGCAGCUACUCUUAUUGAAGAGUGCCCAGACCCAGACACAACUGUAUCUUGUAGAGAAAGAACUGGAUCAUGAAUGGUGAUGGUGAACAAGAAUAUCCAGCUUUGUUUAGGAAGAAGGGUGAAGAGAGAUAAAGGCACACGGAUCAGAUGAACACUUUUGAGAACCUACGAGCUGUAUCAGUGGCAGUUGCUGUGGUGCUAAAAUAAGUGAAGCAGAAGGGUUCUAUGCCUGGGAAUCAAGUGGCAUCAACAACAAUGGCAACCAGGAUCGCCAAGAAAUGAUUCAGGGAGAAGGGAGCUCUCUCUCCCAAAUAUACAUAUCUCAAUGUGAGAAGAGAGGUGGACAGAGUUGGAGAAACUAGAAUUGCUCCUUCCUACCACUAACCUCUCCCAUCAACAGAUUGUAGCAAGGAGGAAACUGUCCUCAGUUACUGGACCAGCUGUGGACUCAUUGGUCAAAGUGGAUGAGCACAGUUUUUCCUCAGAGAUUUGGAUAUGGCAAGUAAAAAGAAAGCAAUUUUCCCCUCUUGAAUGGCUAACCCUGUAACGUUUGGGAGAUGUUAAUGGGCAUAACUUCCACCAUAGGGCCAAGAUAAGGGGAAUCCACUAGAGAGGAAGAGAAAAGGAUCAAGUGGAGGUUCAGAAAGGUG